GGUCACUGCUAUUGGGGUUCGGCUAAGCCAUGCGAGCGGAGGGCGCGGUCGCAAGAUCGUGGCCCCGCACACGGCUCAGUAACACGUAGUCAACCUACCCUUGGGACGGGGACAACGCCGGGAGACUGGCGAUAAUCCCCGAUAGGUGAGGGACGCUGGGAUGCUUCUUCGCUCAAAGCUCCGGCGCCCGAGGAUGGGACUGCGGCCUAUCAGGCUGUUGGUGGUGUGACGGACCACCAAACCUACGACGGGUACGGGCGAUGGGAGUCGGAGCCUGGAGAUGGGGACUGAGACAAGGCCCCAGGCCCUACGGGGCGCAGCAGGCGCGAAAACUCCGCAAUGCGCGCAAGCGUGACGGGGGAACCCCAAGUGCCGUUGGCUUUUGAUCGACGGCUUUUCGGAAGUCCAAUAAGCUUCCGGAAUAAGGGCUGGGCAAGACUGGUGCCAGCCGCCGCGGUAACACCAGCAGCCCAAGUGGUGGCCGCGAUAUUGGGCCUAAAGCGCUCGUAGCCGGAUCAGCAAGUCCUUUGUGAAAUCGGGCCGCCCAACGGUUCGGCGUGCAAAGGAUACUGUUGGUCUUGAGACCGGGAGAGGUCGGAGGUACUCUUGGGGUAGCGGUGAAAUGCUGUAAUCCUGGGGGGACCACCAGUGGCGAAGGCGUCCGACCAGAACGGAUCUGACGGUGAGGGGCGAAGGCUAGGGGAGCGAACGGGAUUAGAUACCCCGGUAGUCCUAGCUGUAAAGCAUGCGGGCCAGGUGUCUAGCGCUCCUUGAGGGCGCUAUGUGCCGGAGGGAAGCCGUUAAGCCCGCCGCCUGGGAAGUACGGCCGCAAGGCUGAAACUUAAAGAAAUUGGCGGGGGAGCACCACAAGGGGUGGAACCUGCAGGUUCA
rnacentral:rRNA from 1 species